GGGAGGAAUAUAGAGGGAAGACCCUCACGCCUCUCCCAAGGGCGCCGUGGCCUAGUUUUGCCCCCAUUUUGCCGCCAUUCUCCUCCUCCUCGGCCCGCCCGCCAGGCUUGGCUCGCCUCGGCUCUGCCUGGCCCGGCCGCUUCCAUCCGCCAUUACUCUUUGUUCCUCCAGCAGCAGAGCCGGGCCAGGAGACCAGGAAGGAGAGGCUCCAUUUUAGAAAUUAAAAACGCCUCACUACUGAGGGAAGGAAAGCGGGGGAGCGAGCGAGCGUUAGGCCCAAGCUUGGCUCUCCCGCUCUCUCUCUGCCUCCUUCCUUCCCUCGCUCGCUGCCUCAACGGCUGCUGCUCUUGCCGCCGCCCCUCCCUGUUUGCCUCCUCUCUCUCUCUGGUCCGCCUUUGUCUCGGCCUCUCUUUCUUUCCUUCGUGCUCGCUUUGCUUUCUCUCUCCUUCCUUCUCCUCUUACCGGCCAGAGGCUGCUCCGUCACUGCUUUCGUUCGCGCCGAGGCUCUCGCCGCAGUUUUAUUCUCUCCCCCACGUAACACACCGCGUCAAACUACACCUCCGCCGCGUCACUCACAGGACACACACACCACGCGCCCGCUCGCUCGCUCGCUCCGGCUCUCUCAGCGCCGGCGACAGCAAGGCCAGGCAGCCAAGGCAAAGCAAGGAGCGACUUGAGAAACUGGAAGUCGCUUCUGGAGUGAGAGAAUUGGCCGUCUGCAAGGACGUUGCCCAGGGGACGCCCGGAUGUUUUGAUGUUUUUACCAUCCUUGUGGGAGGCUUCUCUCAUAUCCCCGCAUGGAGCUGGAGCUGAUAGAGGGCGCUCAUCCGCGCUCUCCUCGGGAGAAUACCAACCAACAAUGACAUCAGAGGGAAUCCCCAGGCAAUGGAAGCCCGGAGUCUACCUGGGCCAUUUCUCAGACAAUCGGGCUGGAGCAGGUAUUACAAAUAGUAGUCAAAUUAAAUAAAAUUGAUCUGUAUUUUCCAGUGUUUUAUGUCAAUACAUUGAGCUCUACUGAUUUCUUCUUUGGCCAUUGAGAAUAAAGAUAUCUGCCAUGCCUUCAAACCUGUUUCAACCUUCUGUCUGCUUAGCACUCUGGGCUCCCAAACCCAGAGCUGAAAUCACAUAACAGUAGAGACACCAUAAGUCAGAAAUUACUUGAAGGUACACAGAAAAGUUCGAAAACAUGCAAAUGUGCGUAGAUUAAUAGGUACUGCUCCAGCGGGAAGGUAACGGCGCUCCAUGCAGUCAUGCCAGCCACAUGACCUUGGAGAUGUCUAUGGAUAAUGCCAGCUCUUCGGCCUAGAAAUGGAGAUGAGCACCAACCCCCAGAGUUGGUCACGACUGGACUUAACGUCAGGGAAAACCUUUACCUUUACACAGAAACAAUAUGGAGACAGGAUGGGGAGAGUUGUAUUUUUCUUCUGUUACUGUAUUUCAAUUUCUACCAUUCUUCAAACUGGCUAUGAUUGGCAGGGCAAAGGGGAGCUGUGAGUAUCUAUGGAUAUACAAAUAUAAACUUCAGAAAAAUAUGUUCCUGAACUUCAUUUCUUUAAGAGAAAAUUUGGUACCAGAGGUAGAAAUAAUAUGAGCCGAAUAGGGAUACUUAUCUGUACCAUAAAAAAGAAGAGCAAUUUAAUACAGGGCUGGAUAAGGGACAACGAGGAAAAGAAGAGAGGCUGGGUGGACAAAAAAGAUGGAAAAGGCUUUGCUGAAUGCCUGCAUUCUGAUCAGUUCAUUUUUAUGUAGUUUCCCCUCCACACACUUGCAGCCUUCCUCAAUCUGGGGCCCUUUCAUACUGCAUAAUUAUAGUACCGUAAUUCCACUUCAACUUCUAUGGCAACUUCCUAUGAACUGGGACUGGCCUUUGGAAAUUCCAGCUCUUCUGAUGAUACUGGCCAAGCCACCAAUUGUAGGAUUUCGCAGGAUGUAGCGAUGGAAGUUAAUGCUAUGACUAUGAAAUGUGGAAGGACCAUAGUAUCCUCCAGAUGUUCUUGAAGUACAUAUACACUAUAGAAUUAUUUGAGUUUGACACCACUUGCCAUAGUUCAAUGCAAUGCAAUCAUGGGAGCUAUAGUUUACAAGCCCUCUCAGCCAAACAGUACUGGUGCCUCACCAAACU
rnacentral:lncRNA from 11 species